rnacentral:rRNA from 1 species
CACGGGGGGAGCAAGCGUUGUUCGGAAUCACUGGGCGUAAAGGGCGUGUAGGCGGUCAGGUACGUGAAAUGUGAAAUGCCUCGGCUCACCCGAGGACCGGCAUCUCAUACUGCUUGGCUUGAGUACGGGAGAGGAUGUGGGAAUUCCUGGUGUAGCGGUGAAAUGCGUAGAUAUCAGGAGGAACACCGGUGGCGAAGGCGCACAUCUGGCCCGAUACUGACGCUGAGGCGCGAAAGCUAGGGGAGCAAACGGG